rnacentral:rRNA from 1 species
GUCUAUGACCAUACCAUCCUGAACAAGCUAGAUCCCAUCUGAUCCCGGAAGCUAAGCAGGGUUGGGCCUGGUUCGUACUUGGACAGGAGACCACUAAGGAAGACCAGGUGCUGAAGGUG